rnacentral:tRNA from 1 species
CUCUAGGAUUCCGAAUGGUUAGGAGCUGGUCUGCAAAACCAGUAUUUGUGGGUUCAAUUCCCACCCUAGAGU